rnacentral:tRNA from 1 species
GCCGGAUUAGUUAAGUGGUAUAACAAAUGACUCGUAAUCAUUAAUCGCAAGUUCGAUUCUUGUAUUCGGCACCA